rnacentral:rRNA from 1 species
UACGUAGGGGGCAAGCGUUGUCCGGAAUCAUUGGGCGUAAAGCGCGUGUAGGCGGCCCGAUAAGUCCGCUGUGAAAGUCCAGGGCUCAACCCUGGGAUGCCGGUGGAUACUGUCGGGCUCGAGUCCGGAAGAGGCGAGUGGAAUUCCCGGUGUAGCGGUGAAAUGCGCAGAUAUCAGGAGGAACACCAAUGGCGAAGGCAGCUCGCUGGGACGUGACUGACGCUGAGACGCGAAAGCGUGGGGAGCAAACAGG